rnacentral:rRNA from 1 species
CCUACGGGUGGCAGCAGUAGGGAAUAUUGCUCAAUGGGGGAAACCCUGAAGCAGCAACGCCGCGUGGAGGAUGAAGGUUUUCGGAUUGUAAACCCCUUUUGUUAAAGAAGAUAAUGACGGUAUCUAACGACGAAGCACCGGAUAACUCCGAGCCAGCAGCCGCGGUAAUACGGCGGGUGCAAGCGUUAUUCGGAUUCACUGGGCGUAAAGAGGGCGUAGUCGGGAUAGAAAGUCAGAUGUGAAAGUCUUUGGCUUAACCAUAAAACUGCAUUUGAAACCGGUAGUCUAGAGUAUGGGAGAGGUAGGUGGAAUUCUUGGUGUAGGGGUAAAAUCCGUAGAGAUCAAGAAGAAUACUCAUUGCGAAGGCAGCCUGCUAGACCAUAACUGACGCUGAUGCGCGAAAGCGUGGGGAUCAAACAGGAUUAGAUACCCGAGUAGUC